rnacentral:rRNA from 1 species
UACGUAGGAUGCAAGCGUUGUCCGGAAUUAUUGGGCGUAAAGAGCGCGCAGGCGGUAUGACAAGUCAGAUGUGAAAGAGGCCGGCUUAACCGGCAAGGGUCAUUUGAAACUGUCAGACUAGAGUGCAGCAGAGGAUAGUGGAAUUCCCGGUGUAGUGGUGAAAUGCGUAGAUAUCGGGAGGAACACCAGUGGCGAAGGCGACUAUCUGGGCUGCAACUGACGCUGAGGCGCGAAGGCUAGGGGAGCAAACGGG